UGCAAGUGUCCAAGGCCAGGUUGGAUGGGGCUUGGAGCAACCUGGGAUAGUGGAAGGUGCCCCUGCCCAUGGCAGGUGGUGCAACUGGAUGUUCUUCAGGUCCUCCCAUCCCAAAACAUUCUGUGAUUCUGUGCUAUUCCCCAAAAUAUUAAUUAUUGUUUAUGAGUAAGGGAUGGAGAAUGGGUGCAAAAAGAUCUCUGCCAGCAAAAGGAUUGUAAAUAAAACAUUGCCUGUGGAUGCACAUAGAUAAAUAUGCUUAUAGAUAAAUAUACAUCCCCACAUGCAGUCACCUGUUUCUUCCUUUAGCCCUUCUGUUACAGAACUCCCCGGCUGUAGUCCAUUGCCAUGCUGAAUCCAAGAACUGCAAUAUUCAACUAUUUUUAUGUGUGUGAUGAAAGCUGUAGGAACUUUUCUUUGAACACUUGCUUUAUAAAACACUCCUGAUACAGCUGUUGUGCUUUUAUAACUAAAAUGUAAUUAUGACAUUAGAGGCAUUGAAGGAAUGUGUAAAAUAUAAAAUCUUGAGUCACUUUCACUGGACUAUCCUGUACUGCCAGCACUAGGAAAAAUCUGUUGUGUUAUGGCACAGUGUGUGAUUUUCUGC